rnacentral:rRNA from 1 species
UGGGGAAUCUUGCACAAUGGGGGAAACCCUGAUGCAGCGACGCCGCGUGAACGAUGAAGCCCUUCGGGGUGUAAAGUUCUUUCGACAGGAACGAUAAUGACGGUACCUGGAGAAGAAGCUGCGGCUAACUACGUGCCAGCAGCCGCGGUAAUACGUAGGCAGCGAGCGUUGUUCGGAGUUACUGGGCGUAAAGAGUGCGUAGGCGGCGAGCCAAGUUUGGUGUGAAAUCUCCCGGCUUAACCGGGAGGGUGCGCCGAAAACUGGUUGGCUGGAGUAUGGGAGAGGAAAGCGGAAUUCCUGGUGUAGCGGUGAAAUGCGUAGAGAUCAGGAGGAACACCUGCGGUGCAGACGGCUUUCUGGACCAUCACUGACGCUGAGGCACGAAAGCGUGGGUAGCAAACA